GCAUCAUGAUUUACAUUUGAGUCGAGUGGCGAACUGGUGAGUAACACGUGGGAAACCUGCCCAGAAGCGGGGGAUAACACCUGGAAACAGAUGCUAAUACCGCAUAACAACUUGGACCGCAUGGUCCGAGCUUGAAAGAUGGCUUCGGCUAUCACUUUUGGAUGGUCCCGCGGCGUAUUAGCUAGAUGGUGGGGUAACGGCUCACCAUGGCAAUGAUACGUAGCCGACCUGAGAGGGUAAUCGGCCACAUUGGGACUGAGACACGGCCCAAACUCCUACGGGAGGCAGCAGUAGGGAAUCUUCCACAAUGGACGAAAGUCUGAUGGAGCAACGCCGCGUGAGUGAAGAAGGGUUUCGGCUCGUAAAACUCUGUUGUUAAAGAAGAACAUAUCUGAGAGUAACUGUUCAGGUAUUGACGGUAUUUAACCAGAAAGCCACGGCUAACUACGUGCCAGCAGCCGCGGUAAUACGUAGGUGGCAAGCGUUGUCCGGAUUUAUUGGGCGUAAAGCGAGCGCAGGCGGUUUUUUAAGUCUGAUGUGAAAGCCUUCGGCUCAACCGAAGAAGUGCAUCGGAAACUGGGAAACUUGAGUGCAGAAGAGGACAGUGGAACUCCAUGUGUAGCGGUGAAAUGCGUAGAUAUAUGGAAGAACACCAGUGGCGAAGGCGGCUGUCUGGUCUGUAACUGACGCUGAGGCUCGAAAGUAUGGGUAGCAAACAGGAUUAGAUACCCUGGUAGUCCAUACCGUAAACGAUGAAUGCUAAGUGUUGGAGGGUUUCCGCCCUUCAGUGCUGCAGCUAACGCAUUAAGCAUUCCGCCUGGGGAGUACGGCCGCAAGGCUGAAACUCAAAGGAAUUGACGGGGGCCCGCACAAGCGGUGGAGCAUGUGGUUUAAUUCGAAGCUACGCGAAGAACCUUACCAGGUCUUGACAUACUAUGCAAAUCUAAGAGAUUAGACGUUCCCUUC
rnacentral:rRNA from 1 species